GACGAACGCUGGCGGCGUGCUUAACACAUGCAAGUCGAACGGAAAGGCCCUGCUUUUGUGGGGUGCUCGAGUGGCGAACGGGUGAGUAACACGUGAGUAACCUGCCCUUGACUUUGGGAUAACUUCAGGAAACUGGGGCUAAUACCGGAUAGGAGCUCCUGCUGCAAGGGGGGGGUUGGAAAGUUUCGGCGGUUGGGGAUGGACUCGCGGCUUAUCAGCUUGUUGGUGGGGUAGUGGCUUACCAAGGCUUUGACGGGUAGCCGGCCUGAGAGGGUGACCGGCCCCAUAUGGACUGAGCUCCGGCGCAGACUGCUACGGGGGGCAGCAGUGGGGAAUUUUGCACAAUGGGAGGACGCCUGCUGCGGCAACGCCGCGUGCGGGAUGACGGCCUUCGGGUUGUGAACCGCUUUCGCCUGAGACGAAGCGUGAGUGACGGUAGUGGGUAAAGAAGCACCGGCUAACUACGUG
rnacentral:rRNA from 1 species